UUACACAUGCAAGUCGAACGGCAGCACGGACUUCGGUCUGGUGGCGAGUGGCGAACGGGUGAGUAAUACAUCGGAACGUGCCUAGUAGUGGGGGAUAACUACUCGAAAGAGUGGCUAAUACCGCAUGAGAUCUACGGAUGAAAGCAGGGGAUCGCAAGACCUUGUGCUACUAGAGCGGCUGAUGGCAGAUUAGGUAGUUGGUGGGAUAAAAGCUUACCAAGCCGACGAUCUGUAGCUGGUCUGAGAGGACGAUCAGCCACACUGGGACUGAGACACGGCCCAGACUCCUACGGGAGGCAGCAGUGGGGAAUUUUGGACAAUGGGCGAAAGCCUGAUCCAGCAAUGCCGCGUGCAGGAUGAAGGCCUUCGGGUUGUAAACUGCUUUUGUACGGAACGAAAAGCUUCGGGUUAAUACCCUGGAGUCAUGACGGUACCGUAAGAAUAAGCACCGGCUAACUACNUGCCAGCAGCCNGCGGUAAUNAAAAAA
rnacentral:rRNA from 1 species